rnacentral:rRNA from 1 species
UAGGGAAUAUUGGACAAUGGGCGAAAGCCUGAUCCAGCAAUGCCGCGUGAGUGAUGAAGGCCUUAGGGUUGUAAAGCUCUUUUACCCGGGAUGAUAAUGACAGUACCGGGAGAAUAAGCUCCGGCUAACUCCGUGCCAGCAGCCGCGGUAAUACGGAGGGAGCUAGCGUUGUUCGGAAUUACUGGGCGUAAAGCGCACGUAGGCGGUUAUUUAAGUCAGAGGUGAAAGCCCAGUGCUCAACACUGGAACUGCCUUUGAGACUGGAUAACUUGAAUCCAGGAGAGGUGAGUGGAAUUCCGAGUGUAGAGGUGAAAUUCGUAGAUAUUCGGAAGAACACCAGUGGCGAAGGCGGCUCACUGGACUGGUAUUGACGCUGAGGUGCGAAAGCGUGGGGAGCAAACAG